GCGGGAAAUCUUACCGGGUCCGGACCACUGAGGAUUGACAGGCAAUAUCUCAUGUUUCAUUAACCGUUAUUAACGUAUCGGUUAUUUCCUUAACAUCGAGUGUUAAAUAUGCUAGUCCUUUCAUGAUUAUGUGAUAGGUGGUGCAUGGCCGUUCUUAGUUCGUGGAGUGAUCUGUCUGCUUAAUUGCGUUUCACUAAUGGCCCAUAAAUUCAAGGUAUGUUAGCUAUCGCCGCUCUAUGGACCCCUUAACUUAACGGUUAAGCGCGCGUCUUUAUUUAAAGAGUUUAAGGCAUUGCGCAUGCUGUUGGGCUCUGAAAGCAACGAACGUGACCGCAACGUCUUGUUGCCUUAAUUAAGUCGUGUUUAAAUGGUAUUUGAUUACAAUUUAACCGCUUACCGAGGCUAUUUAAA
rnacentral:rRNA from 1 species